AAGCAGGAGUCAAUCUAGAGGCUCCCCUAACUCAGAAUCCAAAGAACCCUUCCCGGGCAGCUUGAGAGGGAAGUCUACAAGUUCUUCCACCUUCCGGCUAGGUCCAGAGUCGGGAAGCUUUUGUGCCCUUAUGCUCACCAAUUCCCCAGCCCUUCAAAUAAGCCUGACUUGGAGACCCCUGCCAGCCUCCGUCUCCCAGGCCUGGGUCUGCCCUUCCUCCCUGGUUUAGGGUGGUGGAUUGUUUGCGGAAGUACAUACCUCCCCAGAGCCAGCCGGCUUAGAGUUUCUUCCUUGCUGCUGACAGUAGGGGAGGUAGAGCUGAAGUGGGGGUGGGGGGCGAUGCAGGAAAAGGUAGUCAGCCUGAGGCUGAAGUUGUCACGGAGCCUAACUCAGCACAAUGAGUCUCUUUGAGCCUCCUUAACUAAUCUUGUGUCUACUGCAAUGGGAUCCAGGCCCAGCAUACCAUAUUCAUAGUGGAAUCCGUUGAAUGAGCAACCUCAACCGUCUACCCUUCCAUCCUCACCCCCACCUCCCAAUAUUUCCAGCAUAGUGUCAUCAGGGGAAAGCAGGUCAGGCAGAAAGAAAGAGAAGCUGUGACAUUCCUAAAGUUGGCAAGCCUAGCUUCCUGGUCUUGGAAUUUGGGGCUGGGUUGUAAUCUGGUGAGAGUCUGUUGAGAAAAUCAGUCCAUCUCUGCACCACACCAUCCAGCCCUUCUUGGAGGAAAGCCCUGUUUGUGCAGUUUGCUGAGGUGUUCCCGUUGAAGGUGUUCGGCUAUCAGCCAGAUCCCAUGGGCUAUCAAGAGGCUGUGGGCUGGCUGGAACUGCUGGCUGGGCUGCUGCUGGUCCUGGGCCCACCGAUGCUGCAAGAGAUCAGUAACUUGCUUUUGACCCUGCUCAUGAUGGAACCAGGAGCCCUCCCUGCUGUACUCUAUUUUCCAUGGCCUUUGGACUAGGACAGGAGCUAUCUUCACUCUGGCAUCUCUGAAAGAGUCACCGAACACUUACAUCCCAGCAAUCAUCUGCCUGGGGCUCCUGCUGCUGCUGGAUAUCUGCCAGCUCUGAGUCCAAACUAAGAAGGUGGUCAGACCCACUAGGAAGAAGACUCUUGCAAGUGCGUUCAAGGAGUCCUGGGAGUCCUUUUUUCUCUUCAUGCCACAUCACUAUCACGGCAGGAGCAUGGUGGAACGCAGCGUCUGCCACCUUCUUACCAGUGCAUCCAGGGCUGUUCAGUGUUGAAGUAGACAUCUUCUCUACCUGACCCUGCUUUCUCUCUGAGACAUUCACUGCUCUCUUUUGAGGAGCACGUGUUGCACAUACUGUCAUUCCUCAUGUAAUGUGGAAAUAGAAAACAGAAAAGCAAUUUAAAUCCCCUCAAAAUUUAAUGCACCAAAAAUAACCACUAUCCACUCCUUUUUAAUAACUGUACCUCAACUCUUACUAUGCCUUUGUACAGAUGUUUUUAAUGAAAAUGAGGCAAUAUAAAUUACUUUAUUAAAUGUCUUUUAAAACUAA